AUUGAACGCUGGCGGCAUGCUUUACACAUGCAAGUCGAACGGUAACAGGCCGCAAGGUUCUGACGAGUGGCGAACGGGGGAGUAAUGCAUCGGAACGUGCCCAGUCCUGGUGGAUAACUACUGGUAAGAGUAGCUAAUACCGCAUACGACCUAAGGAGGAAAGCGGGGGACCGUAAGGCCUCGCGCGACUUUACCCGCCGAUGUCAGAUUAUGUAGUUGGUGGGGUAAAGGCUCACCAAGCCAACGAUCUGUAGCUGGUCUGAGAGGACGACCAGCCACACUGGGACUGAGACACGGCCCAGACUCCUACGGGAGGCAGCAGUGGGGAAUUUUGGACAAUGGGCGCAAGCCCGAUCCAGCAAUGCCGCGUGCAGGAAGAAGGCCUUCGGGUUGUAAACUGCUUUUGUACGGAAAGAAACGGAUCUGGUUAAUACCCGGGGGUAAUGACGGUACCGAAAGAAUAAGCACCGGCUAACUACGUG
rnacentral:rRNA from 1 species